AUGAUGACGAUGAGCGAUGACGGAGACCGCACCUGCCCGCUCUGCGCCGAGGAGAUGGACAUCACUGACCAGCAACUCAAGCCCUGCAAAUGUGGCUACGAGAUUUGUGUCUGGUGCUGGCACCACAUCAUUGACAUGGCUGAGAAAGAGGACACAGAGGGGCGCUGCCCUGCCUGCCGCACACGCUAUGACAAGGACAGGAUUGUUAAGAUGGCUGCCACGUGUGACAGAACGGUAGCAGAUAAAAAUACAGACAAGAAGCAGAAGACCCAAAAGGUUAAGUCAAAGACACUGACUGUGGAAGCUAAGAAGCAUCUGGCCAGUGUCAGAGUUAUCCAGAGAAACCUGGUCUACAUAAUUGGGCUACCUGCAAAUUUAUGCAAUGAGAGUGUACUUGAGCGCAGGGAAUACUUUGGUCAGUAUGGAAAGGUUUUGAAGGUUUCAGUUUCUCGUCCAACUGGGGCUCCUUCCCAGCAGACAUCAACAAACAACGGUAUCAGCGUAUAUAUUACUUAUGCCAAAGAAGAAGAGGCCAUCCGGUGUAUUCAGGCUGUACACAAUUUUGUCUUGGAAGGGAAAGUGCUAAGAGCAUGCUUUGGCACCACGAAAUAUUGCCAUGCAUGGCUGCGGAACAUGACAUGUGGGAAUCCAGAUUGUCUCUAUUUGCAUGAUGUAGGCAGUCAGGAGGAUAGUUUCACUAAAGAUGAGAUAAUCUCAGCAUAUACCAGGAGUAGGGUUCCUCAAAUGGCGUCUAGUGUUUCCCAAAGACGUGCAGGAACUGUAUUGCCUCCUCCAGCAGAGGAUUUCUCUUACAGUGCGGUGGUUUCAGCCAAACAUACAAUCAAGAAUGGAACAACUAAUACCACAGGCCAAUCAAGACUGUCACCUCCAAACAGUAGUUCAGGGAGGUCCACGCUUCCACCAGCUACUUCAUGGGGGCAUCGUGAUUUGAACACACGGACAACCGCGACUGAGGUGGCGUCCUCGCAAUCUCUUACUAAAUCAAAAUCAGAGGCGCACAGUAAUUCACUUUCAAGUUCUUCUAUGAUUUCGAAUUCAAGACUACCUUCUUCAUGGAAUGAUGAUACAAGCACAGUACUGAAAAUGACUGAAGGGCGGCAAGUAUCAGAACGAGAUAGUUUGUCUAAAACCUUGAAGCCAUAUAGACCUGGUAUUGCAAAGGAAACCCAAGCUGUGACAUCACUGGAGUCUUCGUUGGACAUAGACUUUUCUACAAUACCUUCAGCCUGGAAUGAUGAUGAAAUUGUAGCAUCAGAUGAGACUUCAAAAGGAAGUGAGGAAAAGCAAGUUGUAAAUGGAAAGUUUAUUCCUUCAGCAUCCUCAAAACCAAUGGAACCGGGCCAGAUUGGGUCUAAGUCAUCAACAUCACCAAAGAAUGGCGAAGCCGUAAACAGUUCCAAGCAAAAUCUUGCAGAUUGUGUGCCACAUUCAGCAAUGUCUGGUUCUGUUUUAAAGAGGGACGAUGGUGACAGUAGACUUAGGGACACAGAAGUCGAGAAGUUGUCUGUUGGGGUAACUUCAGUAACUUUAGAUAGCAAAGAUACAGUUCAUAGUAUGGCAGAAAACCAACAGCUGGGUGCAGUUCCCGACACUUCCGUCGUGGUGCCUUUGAGUCAAAGUUUGAAGAAGGAACAAUCUCAUUUGAAGCUUGCUGGGCUUUCAUCAUCGGAAAAUAAGGACCCUGUACUUUCUUGUCAAUCUAGUUCUGAUAAGCAUCUUGACUGGAGCUCAGAGCUGCAAAGUUGUCGUGUGGCUUCUCCUUUGAAUGACAUAUGGCAUUCUUCUGUGGCCACUGAUAAACCCCAUGCCACUGCUAACACAUCACAUAUUUCUUUGUGGAAUGAUAAAGAAAUUAACCCUACUUUGACAAGUGAUGGUAGAACUUCUGGCACCAUGCUGCAUACCAGGUUAUCUUCAACUGACAAUGCUUCUACCACGUUGAAUGGACGUCAAGAGGGGCUAGGACCUAUGCAUACACCUGGUAUGGUUUCUGAACAUUCUGGUAUGCGAAACCACCAGCAUAGAGCACUGGAUGCAGCAAGAAAUGAUAACAUAGGCAGUUUUGGCAACACUGCAAGUGGAAAUAAAGACGAGGGCAGCAUAAUUUCUGAUAUAUUGUCUUUGGAGUUUGAUCCAUGGGAUGAGUCGUAUUCAACUGCAAACAAUUUUGUUAAGAUGCUUAAUGAAUCUGAAAAGAAUGAUGCACUUUUCAACGCACCUUCAUGGAAAUCAAAAGGCACCAGCAAUGAGUCUAGAUUUUCGUUUGCUAGACAGGAUAACCAACGGAACUUCCAAGAUUCAUCUUUCAGAAAUUGUGGCAGUGAUCAGAAUUUUAGCUUGCUAUCCCAGAAUUCUCAUGGCAACAGCUAUCAGAAUGGUGUUGCAUUCCAAUCGCUGGAGGAAGAUUUUUCAAAGAGCAAUCCUCUUGCUAUGUCAGAUAUAGCAACUGCUGGGUCUUCAAGGUCGAAAAUAUCUGCACCUCCUGGAUUUGCGGCACCAGCUAGGGUCCCACCUCCUGGAUUUUCAUCUCAGGACGGGUUGAAUCCCCCACCUGGAUUUUCUUCAGGAUUCUCAUCUCAGGAUAUGUUGAAUCACCCUCAUGGAUAUCCUUCGGGAUUUCCAUCUCAGGCUGGAUCUAAUCCCCCUCACGGAUUUUCAUCUCAGGCUGGGUCGAACCCGUCUCGUGGAUUUAAUUCUGGAUUUUCAUCCCAGGAUGGGUCUAACAAUAUUCCUCCUGGGUUUUCUUCUGCGUUUUCUGCUGGGUUUUCAUCCCAGAAUGGGUCUAACCAGGCGUAUGGCUCCACAUUCUCAGAAACUCGUCUACUUGAUAAUCUUUUUGGUAGCCACACCAAUCAAUAUCAACCUCAGAUAUCUAGACACACGAGUGACAUAGAAUUUAUUGAUCCUGCUAUAUUGGCUGUGGGCAAAGGGCGGAUGCCAGGAGUUAGUGAUUCAGGGUUGGAUUUGAAAAACGCUCCUUUUCCAGCACAAUUGCAGACAUCAAAUAAUGAUCCAAGACUUCAACUACUUAUGCAGCAGAGCAUGCCCUCUCAUCAAAACCUCAGAUAUACUGACCAUGUUCGAGAUGCAUUCAACCCUAUUCAGAAUGAUAAUUAUCUGGCAUCCCGACUUCUGCCACAGAACCAUGGUUCUCUAUCCCCUUAUGCACAGAUGUCACUCCAACAACCUAGAAACUCACAGCUUGCAAAUGGUCACUGGGAUGGCUGGAGUGAUUUGAGACAGGGGAAUAAUGUUCCCAUAUCGGACAUGUCGAGGAUGUUAUAUCCAACUGAAGCUAACAACUUUCACAUGCUGGGUUCAAAUGAUAUGUAUAACAGAACCUUUGGACUUUAG
rnacentral:rRNA from 1 species